rnacentral:lncRNA from 1 species
GGUAAAGAAAGCUCCAGACCUGGGCAACAUUCCUACCCCAACAGUCAAACCUAGAGUAAAGGAAUAUUGGAAGUUGAACCCAUGAUGUCUUAGAGGUUUACAAAUGGAUUGUACUCAGUCACAUCUGAGCACCAUGGCAGACCACCCACCUGCAGGAUCAGUACACCUGCCUUAAAAAACCAACUGCAAUGAAAUACUUUUGAAUGGAGAAGCAUCUGGAAAUUGAGGAUAUCAGAGAAACUGCUUGCUGGUGCAGAGGUGAGUUUUAGGGUAUCCCUACUUGGACAGAGAUUGGGCUGAUUGAGAUAAGCUUUCUAUGAGGAGGAAUGGGGUAUAUAAGACUCAAGUCACUUAGUGGAGAAAGGCUGAAAUUGACAUUUUCCUUCUAGAGGAGACCAAUUACGCCUGAGGAAACAGAACCUGCAAAUAACCAAAUGACUGCUCUGUGGGAACCCCAGGCUAACCACAAUUUUCAUGAGCUAACCUGACCACAAGAUGACGCCCAUGUUAUCUGCUGGAGAUAGCCUGAUCAAAAACACUACUGUUGUGGAGAUGAUUCUUAUCUCCUAUAAUACCUGUACCUUUCCUCUGUCCAACCAUUAAAGGAAGCAGUUGCCUAAAGAUGUAUUAUGUGCAGGUCCAGAUGCUAAAGAAUGCACUGAUGAGUUGGAGGUGGGAUUCAAUACUCAAGAAUUCUUGGUGUUCUGAGGGACACUUCCCUGCCCCCUGAUUACUUGUGUGCAUUGCGCAUCUUCGGCCCCCAACAUGAUACCCAUGUGGAAAAGGAUGACAUCGAGCAAAGAGCAUAUGUGGAAGCUUGUUCUCCCCACAACGCACCCUCAGCUGCUUUUGACUCCAAAGUUUAAAGAGAGAAGACUUGCUUCCAAUGGCUGGCGCCACCCUCAGCAUCCACAUCCCAGAUUCAUAGAGAGGUGCACAGGAAGGAGGAAAGCAGGUGGCUUUCUAGGGGAACAAGGGUCAAGAAUGGGAAUCUAACCACCCAACCUAAGAUUCUCAUCUAUAAAGAGGCCACCCCACCUUAACAGCUGAGGUCACCAUCUUGAACUCAUAAAGGUUCAGAAGAGAACACAAGCCCUGUGUUCAGGUCAAGAGCUUUGGAAUCAGUCACACUUGAAUAAAAAUUCAAAUACUUUUACUAGUUAUUAGACCUCGUGUGAUUGUCUUACUUCCCCAGAUACAAG